UAUGGCAGAGGAUUAGAAUAUCUUAGUAUGCCUGUCAAAAACCAGUGUUGUGCUGCCAUGGACGGUAGCACAAGUCUUAAUGCACCCGGAUGGUGCAUUUAAGACGCACACGUCCCUCGUCCACAACCUGUAUCAGGCAUACUUAGAUAUUCUUAUCCUCGAACAAC
rfam:Roseburia intestinalis XB6B4 draft genome.